rnacentral:rRNA from 1 species
GGGAUAACCGGGAGAAAUCCCGACUAAUACCGCGUAACGCCGCGGGGCUGCAUGGCCCGGCGGCCAAAGGAAGCGAUUCCGGCGGGGGAUGGGCAUGCGGCGCAUUAGCUAGUCGGCGGGGUAACGGCCCACCGAGGCGACGAUGCGUAGGGGUUCUGAGAGGAAGGUCCCCCACACUGGUACUGAGACACGGACCAGACUCCUACGGGAGGCAGCAGUGAGGAAUAUUGGUCAAUGGGCGGGAGCCUGAACCAGCCAAGUCGCGUGAGGGAAGACGGUCCUAUGGAUUGUAAACCUCUUUUGCCGGGGAGCAACGGGGUCCUUGCGAGGGCCUAAUGAGAGUACCCGGAGAAAAAGCAUCGGCUAACUCCGUGCCAGCAGCCGCGGUAAUACGGAGGAUGCGAGCGUUAUCCGGAUUUAUUGGGUUUAAAGGGUGCGUAGGCGGGCUGUUAAGUCAGCGGUCAAAUGUCGGGGCUCAACCCCGGCCUGCCGUUGAAACUGGCGGCCUCGAGUGGGCGAGAAGUAUGCGGAAUGCGUGGUGUAGCGGUGAAAUGCAUAGAUAUCACGCAGAACUCCGAUUGCGAAGGCAGCAUACCGGCGCCCUACUGACGCUGAGGCACGAAAGCGUGGGUAUCGAACAGGAUUAGAUACCCUGGUAGUCCACGCAGUAAACGAUGAAUGCUAGCUGUCCGGUUCUACGGGACUGGGUGGCACAG